rnacentral:tRNA from 1 species
GGGGGUUUAGCUCAGUUGGUAGAGCGCCUGCUCCGCAAGCAGGAGGUCACGGGUUCGACUCCCGUAAUCUCCACCA